rnacentral:rRNA from 1 species
AGCGAACGCUGGCGGCGUGCCUAACACAUGCAGGUCGAGCGCGGGCAUUUCGGGGGUAACCCCGGGAUGUGCUGAGCGGCGGACGAGUGAGUAAUACGUGGACAACCUGCCUUAAAGCUCGGGAUAACUCCGGGAAACUGGAGCUAAUACCGGAUAAGACCACGGUGUCUAUGGAUGCUGAGGUAAAGGCGGCCAGGAAACUGGCUGUUGCUUAAAGAUGGGUCCACGUCCCANCAGGUAGUUGGUGAGGUAAAGGCUCACCAAGCCAAAGACGGGUAGCUGGCCUUAGCGGGUGGUCAGCCACACGGGGACUGAGACACGGGCCCCGACUCCUACGGGAGGCAGCAGUGGGGAAUA